AGCAGCCGCGGUAAUUCCAGCUCCAAUAGCGUAUAUUAAAGUUGCUGCAGUUAAAAAGCUCGUAGUUGAAUUUCGGGACCAUCAUGUCGGUCGUGCUUAGGUACGUACUGGUAUUGUUGGUUUCUCCCUUCUGACGAACCAUGAUGUCAUUUAUUUGGUGUUGUGGGGAAUCAGGACUGUUACUUUGAAAAAAUUAGAGUGUUUAAAGCAGGCUCACGCUUGAAUACAUUAGCAUGGAAUAAUGAAAUAGGACGUUUGAUUCUAUUUUGUUGGUUUCUAGGAUCGACGUAAUGAUUAAUAGGGAUAGUUGGGAGCAUUAGUAUUCAAUUGUCAGAGGUGAAAUUCUUGGAUUUAUUGAAGACUAACUACUGCGAAAGCAUUUGCCAAGGAUGUUUUCAUUAAUCAAGAACGAAAGUUAGGGGAUCGAAGACGAUCAGAUACCGUCGUAGUCUUAACCAUAAACUAUGCCGACUAGGGAUCGGAUGAUGUUAAAUUUUUAAUGACUCAUUCGGCGCCUUACG
rnacentral:rRNA from 1 species